UACGGAGGAUCCAAGCGUUAUCCGGAUUUAUUGGGUUUAAAGGGUGCGUAGGUGGCUUAUUAAGUCAGGGGUGAAAGACGGCAGCUUAACUGUCGCAGUGCCAUUGAUACUGAUGAACUUGAAUGUACUAGAAGUAGGCGGAAUGUGACAAGUAGCGGUGAAAUGCAUAGAUAUGUCACAGAACACCGAUUGCGAAGGCAGCUUACUAUGGUAUAAUUGACGCUGAGGCACGAAAGCGUGGGGAUCAAACAGG
rnacentral:rRNA from 1 species